rnacentral:miRNA from 4 species
ACUGCAAUGCAAGCACUUCUUAC